GAUGAAGAACGCAGCGAAAUGCGAUAAGUAGUGUGAAUUGCAGAAUUCAGUGAAUCAUCGAAUCUUUGAACGCACAUUGCGCCCCUUGGUAUCCCGAGGGGCAUGCCUGUUCGAGCGUCAUUACAACCCUCAAGCUCAGCUUGGUGUUGGGCCCCGCCGCCCCGGCGGGCCCUAAAGUCAGUGGCGGUGCCGUCCGGCUCCGAGCGUAGUAAUUCUUCUCGCUCUGGAGGUCCGGUCGUGUGCUCGCCAGCAACCCCCAAUUUUUUUCAGGUUGACCUCGGAUCAGGUAGGGAUACCCGCUGAACUUAAGCAUAUCAAUAAGCGGAGGA
rnacentral:misc_RNA from 1 species